GAUGAAGAACGUAGUGAAAUGCGAUAAGUAAUGUGAAUUGCAGAAUUCCGUGAAUCAUCGAAUCUUUGAACGCACAUUGCGCCCCCUGGUAUUCCGGGGGGCAUGCCUGUCCGAGCGUCAUUGCUGCCCUCAAGCACGGCUUGUGUGUUGGGCCCCGUCCUCCGAUCCCGGGGGACGGGCCCGAAAGGCAGCGGCGGCACCGCGUCCGGUCCUCGAGCGUAUGGGGCUUUGUCACCCGCUCUGUAGGCCCGGCCGGCGCUUGCCGAUCAACCCAAAUUUUUAUCCAGGUUGACCUCGGAUCAGGUAGGGAUACCCGCUGAACUUAAGCAUAUCAAUAAGCGGAGGA
rnacentral:misc_RNA from 1 species